rnacentral:rRNA from 1 species
GGACUACUGGGGUAUCUAAUCCCGUUCGCUACCCUAGCUUUCGUGCAUCAGCGUCAGAUAAGACCCAGUAAGCCGCUUUCGCCACCGGUGUUCCUUAGGAUAUCAACGCAUUUCACCGCUCCACCCUAAGUUCCGCUUACCUCUGUCUUCCUCUAGCACAGUAGUUUCGGGCGCAAUUCCUCAGUUAAGCUGAGGUAUUUCACACCUGACUUUCUGCACAGCCUACGCACCCUUUAAGCCCAGUAAUUCCGAAUAACGUUUGCAAGGUUCGUCUUACCGCGGCUGCUGGCAC